AACUUUGUGCAGUAGCUUUAUCAUAGUCAAUGAGGUUUACCUGAGGUGUGAUUUUUGCUAAUUUGGUCCCUAGAGCUGACUUUGGUUCAAGGUCAAACUGUCAGUGUAUGAUUACA
rnacentral:snRNA from 1 species